rnacentral:ncRNA from 1 species
UGGGGACACGCAGGCUCCCCUCCCGGCCUGAUCGUUCAGGUCGUUUCGAAGACGCCGUCGCGUCCAAGUUCUGC